UGGAUAGCUCAGUCCCCACUCUCAUGGGCCUUUCUGUACAGCAGUGGCCAAGUCAUUGUUGCCACGGGGCUACAUGGCACAGGAAGAAGACACACUAGGCAUGAAGCCCAGGCCUGGACCUGGACUGGGGGGUGGGGGGGUGGCCACGCCUACUUCUAGAAGGGAGGUAGGAAGUGAUUAGUUAGGGGAAAGAGGAGGUGUAGAUAGCACUGGCUGUUUUUUUCUAGAAGACUAGGAGAACUGAAUGCCUCCAAAUCCACAACCCUGCCUACGUUGUGGAUUAAAGUCCAGGACUUCUGCUCUAACAUCGAAGAUCAGGAGUUCUCUUUACCAGGCCUCUCUGCCUGGUUAGCAGGUGCAAUGGUUAACUUCGAUGGUAACUUAACUGGUCUGGAAGCAUCUACGAAAGAACUAGAGGUGGCUCAGCGGCGGCUAAGAGCAUUUGCUCACGUCCAGAGAACCUGAUUCAAUUCCCAGCACCCACAUGGCAGCUCACAACUGUCUGCAACUCCAGUUCCAGGGGUCUGACACUCACUCCUGGCCUCUCUGGGCACCAGGCGCACAUAUGGUUCAUAUACAGAUAACAGUGCAUAGACGCAUAUGUAGGUAAAACACCCACACACAUAAACAAAUUAAUUUUUUUUAAAAAGUACCUAAGAGGCUAGUACAACACACCUAGGGACAUAGGAUAGAUAUUCCACAGCCAUGAGGACAUGAGGGCGGUCCUAAGAGAUG
ensembl:antisense Gm11614 predicted gene 11614